UCAUCUACAUGUUUUUAGGGU
rnacentral:siRNA from 1 species